CUACGGGUUGCUCCAGCGGGGAAUAUUGGACAAUGGGGGAAACCCUGAUCCAGCAAUGCCGCGUGUGUGAAGAAGGCCUGCGGGUUGUAAAGCACUUUCGGUUGGGAGGACUGCUUCUAGCACUAAUAUUGUUGGAAGUUGACGUUACCUUCAGAAGAAGCACCGGCUAACUCCGUGCCAGCAGCCGCGGUAAUACGGAGGGUGCAAGCGGUAAUCGGAAUUACUGGGCGUAAAGCGCGCGUAGGCGGCUAGAUCAGUCGGGUGUGAAAGCCCCGGGCUUAACCUGGGAACUGCAUCCGAUACUGUCUAGCUUGAGUACAGGAGAGGAGAGUGGAAUUCCACAUGUAGCGGUGAUAUGCGUAGAUAUGUGGAGGAACACCAAUGGCGAAGGCAGCUCUCUGGCCUGAUACUGACGCUGAGGUGCGAAAGCGUGGGGAGCAAACAGGAUUAGAUACCCUCGUAGUC
rnacentral:rRNA from 1 species